GACAAUUGGUACACGGGGUCUGCACCAGUUGAAAGAAGAACAAAAACAUCUCCUGAACGUCACUAGAGGUCACAUAGGGAUUAAGGAUAAUGAAUUGGCAGUUAUUGGCUGCGAAGGUGGCAUUAAACAUGCAGGAAACAAAGGAUUUAAGUGCUGCUUUAAAAAGGAAGGACUUUAAGAAUGAGAUUCUGCGUGGAAGAGAAAAACAGAUAUGUUCUUUUUCGUCGUGUCACUUUUCAUUGUGGCCAUCAACUGGUGAAUUAAAAAUCAGAAAAAAAGUCUAGAUGUGACGGUGGGAAUUGAACCCAUGACUACGGGAUCUAUUUAACUACUUGACAGUCCCUGUAAUAUGUAUUAGUAGAUAAUAUAAUUAUUGUAUGGAGAAUAAUAAUGAAACCUGUGUGAAGGAUUUACUAUACAAACUUACAAAUUACUGAUCUUUCUAACGUUUUCCUGGUGUUCAGGCUAGUUUUUAUGUUCAAAUUUAUGAAUCUGAGUGUAUAUACUUGAUGUAAUUGCUAAAAGCUUGGUAAU